rnacentral:rRNA from 1 species
UACGUAGGGUGCAAGCGUUAAUCGGAAUUACUGGGCGUAAAGCGUGCGCAGGCGGUUAUGUAAGACAGAUGUGAAAUGCCCGGGCUUAACCUGGGAACUGCAUUUGUGACUGCAUGGCUAGAGUUUGGCAGAGGGGGGUAGAAUUCCACGUGUAGCAGUGAAAUGCGUAGAUAUGUGGAGGAACACCGAUGGCGAAGGCAGCCCCCUGGGUCAAGACUGACGCUCAUGCACGAAAGCGUGGGGAGCAA